GAAUUUUGGACGAUGGGGGCAACCCUGAUCCAGCCAUCCCGCGCGUGCGAUGACGGCCUUCGGGUUGUAAAGCACUUUUGGCAGGGAAGAACAGUCUCUGGCUAAUACCUGGAGCUGCUGACGGUCCCUGCAGAAUAAGCCCCGCCUAACUACGUCCCAGCGGCCGCGGUAAUACGUAGGGUGCAAGCGUUAAUCGGAAUUACUGGGCGUAAAGCGUGCGCAGGCGGUUAGGCAAGAAGGAUGUGAAAUCCCAGGGCUUAACCUGAGAACUGCAUUCUUAACUGCCGGGCUAGAGUAUGUCAGAGGGGGAUAGAAUUCCGCGUGUAGCAGUGAAAUGCGUAGAGAUGCGGAGGAAUACCGAUGGCGAAGGCAGCCCCCUGGGAUAAUACUGACGCUCAUGCACGAAAGCGUGGGGAGCAAAC
rnacentral:rRNA from 1 species